GACGAACGCUGGCGGCGUGCUUAACACAUGCAAGUCGAACGGUAAGGCCCUUCGGGGUACACGAGUGGCGAACGGGUGAGUAACACGUGGGUGGAUCUGCCCUGCACUUCGGGAUAAGCCUGGGAAACUGGGUCUAAUACCGGAUAGGACCAUGGACUUCACGGUUUGUGGUGGAAAGCUUUUGCGGUGUGGGAUGGGCCCGCGGCCUAUCAGCUUGUUGGUGGGGUAAUGGCCUACCAAGGCGACGACGGGUAGCCGGCCUGAGAGGGUGUCCGGCCACACUGGGACUGAGAUACGGCCCAGACUCCUACGGGAGGCAGCAGUGGGGAAUA
rnacentral:rRNA from 1 species